AGCAGCCGCGGUAAUUCCAGCUCCAAUAGCGUAUAUUAAAGUUGUUGCAGUUAAAAGCUCGUAGUUGAAUUUCGGGGUUAGUAGGUUGGUCAUGCCUCUGGUAUGUACUGGUCCCACUGAUUCCUCCUUCCUGAUGAGCCGUAAUGCCAUUAAUUUGGUGUUGCGGGGAAUUUGGACUGUUACUUUGAAAAAUUAGAGUGUUUAAAGCAAGCUAACGCUUGAAUACAUUAGCAUGGAAUAAUGAAAUAGGACGUUCGAUCCUAUUUUGUUGGUUUCUAGGAUUGACGUAAUGAUUAAUAGGGAUAGUUGGGGGCAUUAGUAUUCAAUUGUCAGAGGUGAAAUUCUUGGAUUUAUUGAAGACUAACUACUGCGAAAGCAUUUGCCAAGGAUGUUUUCAUUAAUCAAGAACGAAAGUUAGGGGAUCGAAGACGAUCAGAUACCGUCGUAGUCUUAACCAUAAACUAUGCCGACUAGGGAUCGGGAUGAUGUUAAUUUUUUAAUGUACUCAUUCGGCGUCCCG
rnacentral:misc_RNA from 1 species